UACGUAGGUGGCGAGCGUUGUCCGGAUUUACUGGGCGUAAAGAGCGCGCAGGCGGCUGGUCAAGUCCGAUGUGAAAGCUCCCGGCUUAACUGGGAAAUUGCAUCGGAAACUGAUCGGCUGGAAGGUGGGAGAGGGUAGCGGAAUUCCCGGUGUAGUGGUGAAAUGCGUAGAUAUCGGGAGGAACACCAGUGGCGAAAGCGGCUACCUGGCCCAUUCUUGACGCUGAGGCGCGAAACCUAGGGGAGCAAACGGG
rnacentral:rRNA from 1 species